CUCAGAUAUUGACGAAGUCCGAAAGAAGUUCGGAGCAGAGUCAUCCGUGGUCGGAAGAAGUCUGGAAGGGAUUCGGAGAAUAGUUGAUCACUGUAGAAAAUUGGUUGAUAGCGGAGUUCAGAGGAUAUUUGGAGCAGUCCAGUAAAUGAAUGGAGAAGCCCAUUGUCGGAGAAGUCCGGAUGGUAAUAUGGAAGCUCGGACGGUCGAGGGAGUUUGGAAAGACGCCAC
rnacentral:lncRNA from 1 species